CUAACAUGUUUCACCUUCACAUAGGCUUCUUAAAAGUGUUGAGUAUUGAACACUUUGAAAAAGCCUGUGUGAAGGUGAAAUGUGUUAG